rnacentral:rRNA from 1 species
GACGAACGCUGGCGGCGUGCCUAAUACAUGCAAGUUGAGCGAUGAAGCUUGGUUCUUGCACCAAUUUCGAGAGCAGCGAACGGGUGAGUAACGCGUGGGACAUCUGCCUUUCAGCGGGGGACAACAUGUGGAAACGAAUGCUAAUACCGCAUAACAACUUUAAACAUAAUUUUUAAUUUUAAAAGACGCAAUUGCAUCACUCACUGAUGAUCUCUCGUUGUAUUAGCUAGUUGGUGAGGUAAAGGCUCACCAAGGCGAUGAAACAUAGCCGAACUGAGAGGGGGAUCAGCCAAAUUGGGACGGAGACAGGGCACAAACUGCCACGGGAGGGAGCAGGAGGGAAACGUCGGGAAGGGGCGAAAGUCAGAGCGAGCAACGCGGAGGGAGGGAAGAAGGGUUUCGGAUCGGAAAAAUCUGUUGGUAGGGAAGAAAGAUGGUGAGAGUGGAAAGCUCAUCAAGUGACGGUAACUAACCAGAAAGGGACGGCUAACUACGUG